rnacentral:rRNA from 1 species
GACGAACGCUGGCGGCGUGCUUAACACAUGCAAGUCGAGCGAUGAAGCUUCUUCGGAAGUGGAUUAGCGGCGGACGGGUGAGUAACACGUGGGUAACCUGCCUCAUAGAGGGGAAUAGCCUUCCGAAAGGAAGAUUAAUACCGCAUAAGAUUGUAGUACCGCAUGGUACAGCAAUUAAAGGAGCAAUACGCUAUGAGAUGGGCCCGCGUCGCAUUAGCUAGUUGGUGAGGUAACGGCUCACCAAGGCGACGAUGCGUAGCCGACCUGAGAGGGUGAUCGGCCACAUUGGGACUGAGACACGGCCCAGACUCCUACGGGAGGCAGCAGUGGGGAAUAUUGCACAAUGGGGGAAACCCUGAUGCAGCAACGCCGCGUGAGUGAUGACGGUCUUCGGAUUGUAAAACUCUGUCUUCAGGGACGAUAAUGACGGUACCUGAGGAGGAAGCCACGGCUAACUACGUGCCAGCCGCCGCAGUAA